rnacentral:rRNA from 1 species
AAAUUAUGGGCGGUAUUUUAAGCUUUUCAGAGGAAUUUGCUCUUUAAUGGAUAAAACGCCAAAAUCUUACUUAAAUUUGUUAGUUCAAUUUGUAUACCACUAUAAAAACAAUUUAUAACUUUAAUUGUUUAAAUUUAUUAAAUUAAAAUAUAUUAAGUCAAGGUGCAGUAAAAAUUUAAGAAUGAAGUGAAUUACAUUACUUUUUAGUGAAAAAAAAAUUAUAAUAACACUUAGGAUUUGAAAGUAAAUUUGAAAUAGGAUGUCAAUUUGAAUCAAGCUCUAAAAUAUGUACACAUCGCC